rnacentral:rRNA from 1 species
UUUAUUUGAGAGUUUGAUCCUGGCUCAGGACGAACGCUGGCGGCGUGCCUAAUACAUGC